AACGAACGCUGGCGGCGUGCCUAACACAUGCAAGUCGAGCGCGAAAAGGGCAACCUGAGUAGAGCGGCGCACGGGUGCGUAACACGUGGGUAAUCUGCCUCAAGGUCUGGGAUAACCUUCCGAAAGGUUGGCUAAUACCGGAUAAGCUCACGGAGACUUCGGUCUCUGCGGGAAAAGGUGGCCUCUAUUUAUAAGCCAUCACCAUGAGAUGAGCCCGCGGCCCAUCAGCUAGUUGGCGGGGUAACGGCCCACCAAGGCUACGACGGGUAGCUGGUCUGAGAGGACGAUCAGCCACACUGGAACUGAGACACGGUCCAGACUCCUACGGGAGGCAGCAGUGGGGAAUUUUGCACAAUGGGCGAAAGCCUGAUGCAGCAACGCCGCGUGUGUGAUGAAGGUCUUCGGAUCGUAAAGCACUUUCGACCGGGACGAACAACCUCUGGCUAACAGUCAGGGGCCUGACGGUACCGGGAGAAGAAGCACCGGCUAACUUCGUGCCAGCAGCCGCGGUAACAC
rnacentral:rRNA from 1 species